rnacentral:rRNA from 1 species
AGAGUUUGAUCCUGGCUCAGGAUGAACGCUAGCGACAGGCUUAACACAUGCAAGUCGAGGGGCAGCAUGAUUUGUAGCAAUACAGAUUGAUGGCGACCGGCGCACGGGUGAGUAACGCGUAUGCAACUUACCUAUCAGAGGGGGAUAGCCCGGCGAAAGUCGGAUUAAUACCCCAUAAAACAGGGGUCCCGCAUGGGAAUAUUUGUUAAAGAUUCAUCGCUGAUAGAUAGGCAUGCGUUCCAUUAGGCAGUUGGCGGGGUAACGGCCCACCAAACCGACGAUGGAUAGGGGUUCUGAGAGGAAGGUCCCCCACAUUGGUACUGAGACACGGACCAAACUCCUACGGGAGGCAGCAGUGAGGAAUAUUGGUCAAUGGCCGAGAGGCUGAACCAGCCAAGUCGCGUGAAGGAAGAAGGAUCUAUGGUUUGUAAACUUCUUUUAUAGGGGAAUAAAGUGGAGGACGUGUCCUUUUUUGUAUGUACCCUAUGAAUAAGCAUCGGCUAACUCCGUGCCAGCAGCCGCGGUAAUACGGAGGAUGCGAGCGUUAUCCGGAUUUAUUGGGUUUAAAGGGUGCGUAGGUGGUGAUUUAAGUCAGCGGUGAAAGUUUGUGGCUCAACCAUAAAAUUGCCGUUGAAACUGGGUUACUUGAGUGUGUUUGAGGUAGGCGGAAUGCGUGGUGUAGCGGUGAAAUGCAUAGAUAUCACGCAGAACUCCGAUUGCGAAGGCAGCUUACUAAACCAUAACUGACACUGAAGCACGAAAGCGUGGGGAUCAAACAGGAUUAGAUACCCUGGUAGUCCACGCAGUAAACGAUGAUCACUAGCUGUUUGCGAUACACAGUAAGCGGCACAGCGAAAGCGUUAAGUGAUCCACCUGGGGAGUACGCCGGCAACGGUGAAACUCAAAGGAAUUGACGGGGGCCC